CCUUUCUCAAUGAUCUAUCUCUUAAUUCAUUCAUUUAUUAAAAGAAGGAAAUGGGCAUGCACUAUCAUGAAUCUAGAGUACUCAAAUGUCCUGAAGAUCAUCUCUUCCUCGCUAUAAAAUCCCAAGCCCACCAAGCUCACCUCGCACCCGGUUCAUCAGUUUGGUAUCUCUUCAAGUGUUACCGAAUGGCUUCUUCUACCACUAGUGCUUCAUUUUCAAUGGCCGUUUUGACUUCGGCUUGCGUUUGGGUCUUGAUCGGUGCAAGCGCGAGUGCGCAACUUUCCUUCGACUAUUACACCAGAUCUUGCCCCGUCCUCUUCCCCACGGUGAGGCUAACCGUGGGAGCAGCUAUAGCGAGGGAGGCUCAGAUGGGUGCCUCACUGCUUCGCUUGUUCUUCCACGAUUGCUUCGUCAAUUGCUGUGCAGUAUGGUCAUUAUGAAUCAAAUAGCAUAAGGCAAUGUUUGUUGGUACCAUCUCAUAUCUCUAUGCAACCAUUUAGCUAGCCGGCUUCAAUAGGUAAAUUCGCUUGUUAUACGUGAACCCCACCUUCUAAGGCACUCCGGAUUUAAGUUGGCUAAAUGGUUGUUCAUCGUUCAAAGUGGCAAGAGCUCAACGUCUAGUACAUUGUCCCAAGAUCAUAAGGAACUAAAUAUGAAAGCCUGAGCUACAAUAAGUCAUAAUGUAACGCCCUUCAGCAAACAGACUGCACACCUAUAGCUGACAGAAUACAUAUUACUGUUAAAACGCAUUUGAUGUUGCGCUGUAUCAUGGCUGCGACGGAUCAAUUCUUACGGACGAUACACCUACUUUCACCGGAGAGAAAAAUGCUGCUCCGAACGUCCAUUCAGUGCAAGGGUUCGAAGUGGUCGACCAAGUUAAGUCUGCCGUGGAGGGUGUGUGCCCAGGCAUCAUCUCAUGCGCCGAUUUGUUGGCAAUUAUCGCGCGAGACUCCGUCGUGAUAGUCAAUUGUCUGAACUCAACUAGCAGUUAGUAUGGCAUUAGUAGAGGUUUGCGAUGUUCUAAAUUAGUUCCCUUG